CCCAGUUCGGAUUGUAGUCUGCAACUCGACUACAUGAAGCCGGAAUCGCUAGUAAUCGCGGAUCAGAAUGCCGCGGUGAAUACGUUCCCGGGUCUUGUACACACCGCCCGUCACACCAUGGGAGCCGGAAAUGCCCGAAGUCAGUGACCCAACCAAUAAGGAGGGAGCUGCCGAAGGCAGGUCUGGUGACUGGGGUGAAGUCGUAACAAGGUACC
rnacentral:rRNA from 1 species